rnacentral:lncRNA from 1 species
AGAAGAGGAGAGAUAUACCAUAGCCUGCAGUAAUGAGAAACUAUUUUACCCUUUAUGAAACUUAGUCUGAAGAGCCCAGUCACACACAGCACAGGUCUUCAUCCACCUGUUUAAUCUUUCCCAUGAGUUGUCACUUAGUGUAAUGCAGUAUUGUGCUCAAGUCUGGGAGGAGAAAGGGAAAUUUGAAUGAUAUUUCUGCUGAGCACAUAGGCCCUUCUACAAGAAGAGCAAGGCAGGGGCCUGAAAUAUGAGACAGCCAGGAGAGAUUUAAGAAGUCCUCUGUGACAUUCCAGGCCUUUGCAGACAGUAAGACAGCUAUUUCCUAAAGGUUCAGAAAACUGAGGCAAGCCUGGAAGGCAAAGUGAACUCCUCAAGUUCCUCCCUAAAAGCUAAUAGCUAGGCAUUACAGCAAUCUGAAAUGCUGGGGAAUUGACUAUAAAACAAAACUGAU